ncrna:Ictalurus punctatus (channel catfish) microRNA ipu-mir-219b precursor
CUGAUUGUCCAAACGCAAUUCUUGUGCUUGUGUGAAACAGGAGUUGUGGAUGGACAUCACGC